rnacentral:rRNA from 1 species
GACGAACGCUGGCGGCGUGCUUAACACAUGCAAGUCGAACGGAAAGGCCCUGCUUGCAGGGUGCUCGAGUGGCGAACGGGUGAGUAACACGUGGGUGAUCUGCCCCUUACUUUGGGAUAAGCCUGGGAAACUGGGUCUAAUACUGGAUAGGACCAUGCUGUAGGUGGUGUGGUGGAAAGAUUAGUUUCGGUAAGGGAUGAGCUCGCGGCCUAUCAGCUUGUUGGUGGGGUAAUGGCCUACCAAGGCGUCGACGGGUAGCCGGCCUGAGAGGGUGGACGGCCACAUUGGGACUGAGAUACGGCCCAGACUCCUACGGGAGGCAGCAGUGGGGAAUAUUGCACAAUGGGCGCAAGCCUGAUGCAGCGACGCCGCGUGGGGGAUGACGGCCUUCGGGUUGUAAACUCCUUUCAGCCAUGACGAAGCCCUUGUGGUGACGGUAGUGGUAGAAGAAGCUCCGGCUAACUACGUG